rnacentral:rRNA from 1 species
ACGAAGGUCCCGAGCGUUGUUCGGAAUCACUGGGCGUAAAGGGAGCGUAGGCGGCGCGGUAAGUCAGAUGUGAAAUCCCGGGGCUCAACCCCGGAACUGCAUCCGAUACUGCCGUGCUAGAGGAUUGGAGAGGUAGCUGGAAUUCACGGUGUAGCAGUGAAAUGCGUAGAUAUCGUGAGGACCACCUGUGGCGAAAGCGAGCUACUGGACAACUCCUGACGCUGAGGCUCGAAGGCUAGGGUAGCGAAAGGG